GUAGCGUAUAUAAACCUCUUGCCCUGCGUUGGGGUUUUCAUUGCUCAUGAUUUACACCAUUUGACAACAACGUUUGAAGUCGAGUUAACUUUUUAAACCUUCUGUAAACUCGUCAAAUAAUCACUUCCACACUUCACCUUCUGGAAGAGACAACCGAGUUUUACCGCUGAAGAGAGACUUCCGCGUAGAUUUCGCCGUAAAUCGGAUGAAAUUAUUGGCAUAUUCUGAGUGUUUAGAGUCAAUAAGGUCCACGAUCGGCUUUAUCUACAGCUAUCAUUGAAAGAAUCUUCUCCUACUGUCCGUUAUCACAGGACUGACGAUAACCGCGGUAUGUCUGCCUCCUGCGGAGGUGUUUAUACAACCCCUCGCAAACCGGUUAUAAACGUACCCUGCAUGUGAUGUCCGGACCAGAAUCUGUUAAGACUGCAACGAAGAAACCUAUACCACGUCUCCAAGAAAAUUAUUAAAGGGAUCUUUUAAUUGCCUUCAUCAUUUUCAUUACAAUUAUAAGAAUGGUUGAGUUCCUCUACUUCGUGUGCCUUCUCGGAGUGACGAGCAGACUAUCCGCGUCACCACUCUCAUUAACUGAUGUUAAGGACGAUGAUAUCGCCGUCCCGGCUGACGCGGAAGAUGUGCAUGUUCCCGGACAAUUUCUUGUGAACUAUGAAAACUUGUUGAAUUCUGAUGAGGACUUGAGUUAUCCAAUCCUGCCAUUACCCGAUAAUCCGCCGGAAUGGCUGAUGACGCUGAUUCACAACACCGUGGCUCACUCCUCUGAUCUUUCAAACAGACAAAAGCGCGCGUAUCAGGACUAUUCAGACCCGCGCCUCCAGGCAAUUUUACGCGCUUUUUACUCUACAUAUGGUGGAUAUGGCACCAUGGGUCUUCGAUAUGGACGUUCAGUUAGAUCUCUGCAAAGACGUGUUGGUCCUCUUCAACGUAGAAUUUUACAUAAUUCGUUUUUGAAACAAAUGAAAGCAAACACCCAUUCUAGAGGUCGUUUUCACAGAUCAUUAUACAGACGAGUCGAUAUCCAAAGACUUCUAAGACGGUUCUACUCCAGUGGAAAAAAAUUCGGACGUUUCGGUCUGCAAUACAGGUAGAGGAGGGAAAGUGUGCUAUACCUUCAGUACAGGGUAUCUGAUUGACCUCAUAGGCAGCAUGCUUUGGAUUGUGACUUCGCUAGCGUCAUGGCGUCUUAGCAACUUUAUGAAGUCGUCAAUACAAUUUCACAUGAGUGGGUGAUGAAUCUCUGACUUGUAAAUAAUAUAUAUUGUAUUUAUUUUAAUUGUUUGUAAAUAUUGUAAUAAGAAAAGUCUCAGGUAAAUUUUACCUAAAUUAAAUCUAUAUGGUUCGAAUCAA